UGAUUAACAUAUUUCCAACAGGACGUUAUCUGACUGGUUUUGAAACUGGCUAAUGGUUUAAGUCACUUUCUGAAAACGCGCCAAAAUGUUAUUUUCGAUAUAAAACGACUAUAAAGGAAAUCUUUUGAUAUGAAGUCAUUAUUACUUGGUUACCUGAAUUAAAAUAACAAAUAAUUAAUACUGAAAAUUACUGAAAAUUUCUAAUCAAGUUAAAGUGGAAACAGAUUUUUAUUUUAACUUUUCUCCCCAUAGUGAAUCCAAAUGUUAUUACAGACUGUAAUCUUGCUGCGAAGGAGCCCCGUCCACACAUGAAGUGCCUACCAGUGAAGUGGCAACCAGGCACUAUGGAAAGUUGAUGAUAAUCAGCAAUUUCAAGCAAUAAGGGGCAAUGUGAACUCUGGAAACAACCAGCCUCCUGGGACUGGACACAGAACUAACAGAGACCGUGCCAAAGAAGAUUAAACCUAAUUUUGCUAAAGCGCCAACAAGGAUCAUCUCCUCUGGUAGCGAAAAGACGCCCCGAUUACGUGAAAGUCUAUAGGAAAACAACCUUGCUGCUCACUUCAUCAGUCACCCAAGUAAAUGCUUUCCUAAGUUUAUGACCUCAGUUACUAAUUUCAAAGCAUGUGUUUGGUUUGUAAAUCAUGUCCCCAAUUACCGUCAAACAGACAAUAAAAGAGUGUAUGCUUUAAAGUAAUCCUUCCUUGUCAUUCACAAGUUGCUUCUGUAGGAAUAAACAUUGUGAGAUCCACCCCUUUCCUCAUCACCUGACUUCACUAACCAGUGGCAGACGUCACAGUGGCUACGUUCAUCUUUAAUAUACAGUCUGUUAUCCAGCCACAGUGUCAUUAGCAUCGUGCCACAGCAUGAAUCAGACCAGGCUGGAUGUGACGCCACCUCUUAUCAAAAUGGAAACAUUAGAUCACAGUGGGAACUGUGGAAUGUAUUGCACAAGACAUCAAUCAGGCUGUUAGUGUUACACAAUAGCUGUUCCACGGGGAUAACCAGAUGACAUCAUAUGUAUAUGGACAGGUGCAAUCUGAAGCCUCAGAGUCUAUUUUUUUCACAUUUUUGGUACAUGUUCGCAUCUAUUAGGCUCAGUUAGGCUAACCAGGAGGAGUGCAUACAGUAACAGACUGGAAAUGUCCAUAAGACACUCACUACACCUGUAAACUGAAGCAAAAAGCCUGUUUCCUAAAUGCUAACUUUAGCAUACGGGGAGCCUUGUAAAAUUGCUUCACAUGCUCCCACAGCCCCAAUGUAUAAGAGACAGGUUGAGUCCCCAACAGUUUUAGAUUUAUCUUCUGGGUAUGUUAGCAAACAAGGCAGGGGUGGCGUAAAUAUUUUAUUUUAUUGUACAAUAUACUGUACGUUUUUAUAAACAGGGAGUAGAUGGAGUAGUAGCAUUAGGUUCACUGCUGCUCAAGCCACACACACAGACUGCAGCUUAUUAAAAAUUAAAUACACAGAUCACUCGCAUCACACCUCGGUUACAUGGGCUAUUUCAGCUUCAUGCAGUUAGAUAUUUGCAGAAAGGAUUUAUAACCACAUAGGCUGAUUCUCACACAAGCAAGUUAUGAUGAAAAACAAUACGCUUUUGAGAAGUCCACCUGUGUCACACCAGCUAAUUCAAAGUUAAGCGCAUGUUCGCCCCGAUAUAGGCAAAUACAAAGUAGUUUUUAACCCCAGAGCCCUAGCUCAUCAUCUGAAGCUUAUUAAUAAAAUACUAUGAGAGCUUUAGAACAUAUUGCACCGCCACUCAGGACCUUGAUUAUAAUGCCUACAGGCUGCAUGCAGUUAAAUAAUUCAGCAAGGCUGAGAACUGCCACUGUCAC